rnacentral:rRNA from 1 species
CCUACGGGUGGCAGCAGUGGGGAAUAUUGCACAAUGGGCGCAAGCCUGAUGCAGCCACGCCGCGUGUAUGAUGAAGGCCUUCGGGUUGUAAAGCUCUUUCAGUCGGGAAGUAGGUGGUUAGACUUAUAAAAUUAUCAAUUGACGUUACCGACAGAAGAAGCACCGGCUAACUCCGUGCAAGCAGCCGCGGCAAUACGGAGGGUGCAAGCGUUAAUAGGAGUUACUGGGCGUAAAGGGCACGAAGGCGGUUGGUCAAGUCAGGUGUGAAAUCCCGGGGCUUAACCCGGGAAUUGCAUCUGAUACUGGUAGGCUAGAGUGUUGUAGAGGGGGGUGGAAUUCCAGGUGUAGCGGUGAAAUGCGUAGAUAUGUGGAGGAACACCGGUGGCGAAGGCGGCCCCCUGGACAAAGACUGACGCUGAGGCGCGAAAGCGUGGGUAGCAAACAGGAUUAGAUACCCCUGUAGUC